rnacentral:rRNA from 1 species
UACGUAGGCAGCGAGCGUUGUUCGGAGUUACUGGGCGUAAAGGGUGUGUAGGCGGUCCUCUAAGUUUGGUGUGAAAUCUCCCGGCUCAACCGGGAGGGUGCGCCGAAAACUGGGGGGCUAGAGUACUGGAUGGGAGAGUGGAAUUCCUGGUGUAGCGGUGAAAUGCGUAGAUAUCAGGAGGAACACCUGUGGUGUAGACGGCUCUCUGGACAGUAACUGACGCUGAGACACGAAAGCGUGGGUAGCAAACAGG